CUCCGAUGGCGCAGCAGCACUGUUCAUCCAAAUCAUGGACAGUGACGGUGGCACUGAUGACGAUUUUGUUGGUGAGGCAACGAUUCCUCUGGAAGCAGUUUACACGGAAGGAAGCAUCCCUCCAACUGUUUACAAUGUUGUGAAAGACGAAGAAUACCGCAGAAAUAAUAAUAACGGUCACCGAACCCCACUCUUUGAUGUCCUGUACUACUGCAUCAAUUUGGCGUGCUUAAGUUAGGUACCAUUGAUUCAGAUUAUCUAUAACUGUUCCAGAAAGAUAUAGUAAUAUCUUGAUCA